rnacentral:rRNA from 1 species
AUUGAACGCUGGCGGCAGGCCUAACACAUGCAAGUCGAGCGGAUGAAGGGAGCUUGCUCCUGGAUUCAGCGGCGGACGGGUGAGUAAUGCCUAGGAAUCUGCCUGGUAGUGGGGGAUAACGUCCGGAAACGGGCGCUAAUACCGCAUACGUCCUGAGGGAGAAAGUGGGGGAUCUUCGGACCUCACGCUAUCAGAUGAGCCUAGGUCGGAUUAGCUAGUUGGUGGGGUAAAGGCCUACCAAGGCGACGAUCCGUAACUGGUCUGAGAGGAUGAUCAGUCACACUGGAACUGAGACACGGUCCAGACUCCUACGGGAGGCAGCAGUGGGGAAUAUUGGACAAUGGGCGAAAGCCUGAUCCAGCCAUGCCGCGUGUGUGAAGAAGGCCUUCGGAUUGUAAAGCACUUUAAGUUGGGAGGAAGGGCAGUAAGUUAAAACCUUGCUGUUUUGACGUUACCAACAGAAUAAGCACCGGCUAACUUCGUG